rnacentral:lncRNA from 1 species
ACCCCACACACCUAAAAUGCCUACAUAGCUGUUCAGUGCCAAAAAUGUAGGCAAGGGCUAUAGAUUUAAUAAUGUAGCCAUAGGCAAGUAGCCAUGGGACAAAGAUAAAAAUAGGUGCAUAUGCAACAUACCCAUCAAACACGGUGAAUCAAGAGGGAAGUAAGUGUGUUGUUACUGAAGAGGUUUGAUUACACUAGAAAAUUAGGUAAAGGAGAAAUGACUCACUGGUCGGAAGUUGAAAAGUACUGGGGACAAAGUCUGUUCUUGUUUCUGCCUUUGUGACUUCACCAAACACAAGGGCAGAUUCUGUUUUCAUCUAUACUUACGUGAAAGGGAAGUCGUCCAUUGGGAUACAGUGGUAUAAAACAAGAAGGAAAUCUACUCAUCUAGAGGAAAAUGGUGUAGACAGUACAAUUUAUCAUGCAUAGAGAAGGCAGCAAUGGUGAUUCCUCAAAUAUUACACUAAGAGCAUAGCAGUUUGACAGAAGACAAGAGGAGAUGACAUUUGAAGGGAAUAUUGGAAAGAGAAGAGCUACAUUAAAAGAUCAUGAGUUUACACAAAUGGGAUGGAGCUUCAUGUAUAACAGUGAAUAAAAUAUUCACAAGAGAAACCAAAGCACCUCUUUUUACAGAAAGUAAAGGAUUUUCACCACUUUUGUUUGCUGUAAAUCAGUACCCCCACCUGCACAAACAUCCUGCCCUUACAUUUCUGAAUAAGAUAGGAAGAAUUUUUUUAUCUGUAAUUGUACACCGAUGCUGCACCUCCCCCACUAUUUGCA